rnacentral:rRNA from 1 species
UACGUAGGGUGCGAGCGUUGUCCGGAAUUACUGGGUGUAAAGGGUGCGUAGGCGGGCAUGUGCGUCGGAGGUUAAAUACAACGGCUUAACCGUUGAACUGCCUUCGAAACGGCAUGUCUUGAAUGUGGGAGAGGAUGAUGGAAUUCCUGGUGUAGCGGUGAAAUGCGUAGAUAUCAGGAGGAACACCAGUAGCGAAGGCGGCCAUCUGGCUGAUAACUGACGCUGAGGUGCGAGAGCGUGGGGAGCAAACAGG